AUGGAGAUCUGGGCAGGAACCCGAAUCUCCUCCUUGUGUCUUAGAAUCCUGGUCAUGCCUCUCUGCGCCCUUCAUCCAUCCAGCCACCUAGGCAUCCAUUCAUCCAUCAUCCACCCAUGUCUCUAUCCAUCCACCCUCCAUUCAUCCUUCAUCACCCAUUCCCCUCAUUCAUUCAUCCAUCAUCCGUCCAGCCAGCCACCCUCAUGGCCCAUUAUCCCUUCAUCAACCUGCGUCCACUCUUCCCUCUCGCCGAAGAGAACGGAGCACCUGUUCUGUGCAGAAUUGUGCUUUGCCCCCGAAGCUGCAAAGUCGUUCAGGACCAGAGUCCAGGGAGCCUUGGGUCUGCGCAGGAUGCUGACUGGCGGUUUGAUGCGCAGGCAGGAUCACAAGCCUGGGCCGAAGACUGGGUCGCCCCCUCCCCCAUCACCACGCCUUCAUCCUCUGGCUCCUAGACCUAUUUCUGCGGUCAAGUCUCCACAGGACCGCCCCGAGGCCACGGGAGCUCAAGAAUACACUGCAUUUUUCUCAUUUUAAUGAAGGUACAAAGGGUACUUGGGAAGGAAGCGCGCCAAGAAAUCAUGCCCUUUCAGGUACAUUCUUGGCCGCUGGGUUGGGGAUUGCGUAGGUGUUGUUUUAUUCUAUUUUAUUUUUUCACGGAGGGGAGGGAGAACUGCUUUAUCUCUUUGACUCAGGCCUGAGGAAUGCCACCUCCUGACCGCCCGCCCACCGCCUGACCCUGACCCUGACCCGUGGAGCCCUCAGCCCUGCUGGUGAUGACAAGGAGCCUGGCUAGGCACUAGGCUGCAGGGGGAGCGGGGAGGAGUGAAGCCCAUCAGCGCAGAGGGAGGGAUGAGCUAAGAAGCUGAGGCCAGGAGCCAGGGGUCUGGAGGCCCCAAGUGGCAGACCCCCGGGAGGAGGAGACAGUGGGCUGGGCAGAUCUGUGGCUCUCUCUUCUGCCCAAGGACAAACCUUGGCCUCCCCGUCCAGGAGUCCCCCCGUCCCGGUUCUAACCUUGACACAUGGAGUGACUUAGGAGAAGUCACUUGCCUCCCCGAGUCAGGGCGUCCUCUGCUCGAAAAACGAGGCUGGUAACAUCUGUGACCUCACGGUGCGUCGUGAGACCCGGUGACUGACUCAUUCUUAGGUGUGUUGGGCUCUCGGAGAGCCUGGGUCGGGCAGCUCACCUGGCCUGGGACAUGGCUGCUAAGGAAGGGGACGUUUCCCUGUGUGCCUAGCUCCAUCCCUCGUGGCUGCCCAUGACCUUGGCAGGGCCCUCCGCUUCUGCAGGUCUCCUUGCCUAUUAAAUGGUAAUGAGGGCCAAAACAGCAUGUGCCUCAAUGGAAGGUCGUGAGGUUCCAUGGUGUCCAUAAAAGGCUCUGAGGUCCCAGGAGAAAGGCGCCAAGGAGCUACAAGGUGUUAUUAGAGGUAAUUGGGUCAGCAGUGGGGUGCACCUUCAAAGUGGCCUGACUCCGGUUCCCUCCCAGUCUCUUCUCUCUGUCCUCCUCGAUGCUGUGUCCCCCUUUUUACCCCCCAC
ensembl:lncRNA